rnacentral:rRNA from 1 species
GAUGAACGCUGGCGGCGUGCCUAAUACAUGCAAGUCGAGCGAACAGACGAGGAGCUUGCUCCUCUGACGUUAGCGGCGGACGGGUGAGUAACACGUGGAUAACCUACCUAUAAGACUGGGAUAACUUCGGGAAACCGGAGCUAAUACCGGAUAAUAUAUUGAACCGCAUGGUUCAAUAGUGAAAGACGGUUUUGCUGUCUCUUAUAGAUGGAUCCGCGUCGCAUUAGCUAGUUGGUAAGGUAACGGCUUACCAAGGCAACGAUGCGUAGCCGACCUGAGAGGGUGAUCAGCCACACUGGAACUGAGACACGGUCCAGACUCCUACGGGAGGCAGCAGUAGGGAAUCUUCCGCAAUGGGCGAAAGCCUGACGGAGCAACGCCGCGUGAGUGAUGAAGGUCUUCGGAUCGUAAAACUCUGUUAUUAGGGAAGAACAAAUGUGUAAGUAACUAUGCACGUCUUGACGGUACCUAAACAGAAAGCCACGGCUAACUACGUG